GAUGAACGCUGGCGGCGUGCCUAAUACAUGCAAGUCGAGCGAACGGACGAGAAUCUUGCUUCUCUGAUGUUAGCGGCGGACGGGUGAGUAACACGUGGAUAACCUACCUAUAAGACUGGGAUAACUUCGGGAAACCGGAGCUAAUACCGGAUGAUAUUUUGAACCGCAUGGUUCAAAAGUGAAAGACGGUCUUGCUGUCACUUAUAGAUGGAUCCGCGCUGCAUUAGCUAGUUGGUAAGGUAACGGCUUACCAAGGCAACGAUGCAUAGCCGACCUGAGAGAGUGAUAGGCCACACUGGAACUGAGACACGGUCCAGACUCCUACGGGAGGCAGCAGUAGGGAAUCUUCCGCAAUGGGCGAAAGCCUGACGGAGCAACGCCGCGUGAGUGAUGAAGGUCUUCGGAUCGUAAAACUCUGUUAUUAGGGAAGAACAUAUGUGUAAGUAACUGUGCACAUCUUGACGGUACCUAAUCAGAAAGCAACGGCUAACUACGUG
rnacentral:rRNA from 1 species